rnacentral:tmRNA from 1 species
GGGGCUGAUUCUGGAUUCGACGGGAUUUGCGAAACCCAAGGUGCAUGCCGAGGGGCGGUUGGCCUCGUAAAAAGCCGCAAAAAAUAGUCGCAAACGACGAAAACUACGCUUUAGCAGCUUAAU